rnacentral:rRNA from 1 species
GCGUUGUCCGGAAUUAUUGGGCGUAAAGAGCUCGUAGGCGGUUUGUCGCGUCGACUGUGAAAACUCAGGGGCUCAACUCCGAGCUUGCAGUUGAUACGGGCAGACUAGAGUUCGGCAGGGGAGACUGGAAUUCCUGGUGUAGCGGUGAAAUGCGCAGAUAUCAGGAGGAACACCGGUGGCGAAGGCGGGUCUCUGGGCCGAUACUGACGCUGAGGAGCGAAAGCGU